rnacentral:rRNA from 1 species
GACGAACGCUGGCGGCGUGCUUAACACAUGCAAGUCGAACGGAAAGGCCCUGCUUUUGUGGGGUGCUCGAGUGGCGAACGGGUGAGUAACACGUGAGUAACCUGCCCUUGACUUUGGGAUAACUUCAGGAAACUGGGGCUAAUACCGGAUAGGAGCUCCUGCUGCAUGGUGGGGGUUGGAAAGUUUCGGCGGUUGGGGAUGGACUCGCGGCUUAUCAGCUUGUUGGUGGGGUAGUGGCUUACCAAGGCUUUGACGGGUAGCCGGCCUGAGAGGGUGACCGGGCACCUGGGGACUGAGAUACGGACCAGUCUCCUACGGGAGGCAGCAGUGGGGAAUAUGGCACAAUGGGCCGAAGCCUGAUGCAGCAACGCCGCGUGCGGGAUGCCGGCCUUCGGGUUGUAAACCGCUUUCGCCUGUGACGAAGCGUGAGUGACGGUAAUGGGUAAAGAAGCACCGGCUAACUACGUG